rnacentral:rRNA from 1 species
GACGAACGCUGGCGGCGUGCUUAACACAUGCAAGUCGAACGGUGAAGCGCCUUCCUUUUUGGUGGGUGUGGAUGAGUGGCGAACGGGUGAGUAACACGUGAGUAACCUGCCCCCUUCUUCUGGAUAACCGCAUGAAAGUGUGGCUAAUACGGGAUAUUCUGGGUCUGUCGCAUGAUGGGUCUGGGAAAGAUAUUGUUUCGGUGGGGGAUGGGCUCGCGGCCUAUCAGCUUGUUGGUGGGGUGAUGGCCUACCAAGGCGGUGGCGGGUAGCCGGCCUGAGUGGGUGGCCGUCCAAGCGGGGAGUGAGCCACGGCACAGACUACUAGGGGAGGAAGCGGGGGGGAAUGUUGACAAUGGGGCGCAAGCCUGAGCCAGCCACGCCGGGUGAGGGGGGGGGGCCUUGGGGUUGGUAACCUUUUUCGGAAGGGAAGCCGGCCUGCCCAUUUGGGGGGGGGGUUGACGGUAGGAGGAUAAAAAGCCCCGGCAAACUAGGU